rnacentral:rRNA from 1 species
AUUGAACGCUGGCGGCAUGCCUUACACAUGCAAGUCGAACGGCAGCGGGCCUUCGGGUGCCGGCGAGUGGCGAACGGGUGAGUAAUGCAUCGGAACGUGCCAUUGAGUGGGGGAUAACGUAGCGAAAGUUACGCUAAUACCGCAUAUUCUGUGAGCAGGAAAGCAGGGGAUCGCAAGACCUUGCGCUGAUUGAGCGGCCGAUGUCAGAUUAGCUAGUUGGUGAGGUAAAGGCUCACCAAGGCGACGAUCUGUAGCGGGUCUGAGAGGAUGAUCCGCCACACUGGAACUGAGACACGGUCCAGACUCCUACGGGAGGCAGCAGUGGGGAAUUUUGGACAAUGGGGGCAACCCUGAUCCAGCCAUGCCGCGUGAGUGAAGAAGGCCUGGUUGUAAAGCUCUUUCGGCCGGGAAGAAAUCGCAUGGGUUAAUACCC